GGGGGCGCCCGGCGGAACGGAGCGUCCUGUCCGCGGCUGAGUCAGCGGCGUCGGUGGGAAGGCGGGCAGCGUUCUCGGGCCGCGUGAGUAACCUGCAAAUCAAUAUCCUCCCCGCGGCCUUGGGGAGAGACGAAUGGUUAUGGAGCAAACGCACUUCUGUUCUAAGGAGAACAGAGGGGAGCCAAGGCCAGCCAUCCAUCCGCCCGAAACGCCACGUUAGGAAGACUCCCUCGGCGCGGGCCGCUCUCCUGCCGGAAAACCUGGCGCGCAGAUGGACGCCCGGGCGGGGCUGUGCCACAGCGAUGGCGCUCGUGCCCUGAAAACGCCUUUAAUGGAAACACAAAACACAAACACGUGCGGGGCAGAGAUCAGCAAACUGUGGCCCACAGGUCAAAUCUGAAUGACUGCGUGUUCCUGUAAAUUAAGUUUUCUUUGCACACAGCCACACUGACUCACUUAUAUAUUGUUUGUGGCUAAUUUCAUGCUGUAGGGGCAGAGGGCUUUACUUCAAACUGUAGCAUGUGGAGUAAUCAGAAUACCCAGGGCAUUUCGGCAGACUGAGGAAACAGAUCGGAACGAGUCAUCACACUACGUAAAAUUCAAAAACUGGAGGCAACAGGGAAGUCA